rnacentral:tRNA from 1 species
UCCCUUAUAACUCAAUUGGUAAAGAAUCUGCCUGCAACGCAGGAGACCUAGGGUCGAUUCCUGGGUUGGGAA